GACAGAGGGGGCAAGCGUUGCUCGGAAUCACUGGGCGUAAAGGGCGCGUAGGCGGGAUGGCAAGUCAGUCGUGAAAUCUCUCGGCUCAACCGAGAAACGUCGGCUGAUACUGCCGUUCUUGAGGGAUGCAGAGGAGACUGGAAUUCCCGGUGUAGCGGUGAAAUGUGUAGAGAUCGGGAGGAACACCGGUGGCGAAGGCGGGUCUCUGGGCAUUUCCUGACGCUGAGACGCGAAAGCGUGGGGAGCAAACAGG
rnacentral:rRNA from 1 species